rnacentral:rRNA from 1 species
GACGAACGCUGGCGGCGUGCUUAACACAUGCAAGUCGAACGGAGUGGCGAACGGGUGAGUAACACGUGGGUGAUCUGCCUUGCACUUCGGGAUAAGCUUGGGAAAAUGGGUCUAAUACCGGAUAGUGCAAGAUGAGCUAGCGGCCUAUCAGCUUGUUGGUGGGGUAAUGGCCUACCAAGGCGUCGACGGGUAGCCGGCCUGAGAGGGUGUACGGCCACAGUGGGACUGAGAUACGGCCCAGACGCCUACGGGAGGCAGCCGUGGUGAAGAGUGCGCAAUGGGCGGAAGCCGGAUGCAGGGACGCCGGGUGGGGGAUGAAGGUUUUCGGGUUGUAAACUCCUUUCGACAGGGACGCGGUACCUGUAUAAGAAGCACCGGCUAACUACGUGCCAGCAGCCGCGGUAAUUC